rnacentral:rRNA from 1 species
UACGUAGGGUGCGAGCGUUGUCCGGAAUUAUUGGGCGUAAAGGGCUCGUAGGCGGUUUGUCGCGUCUGGGGUGAAAACCAUGAGCUUAACUCAUGGCUUGCUUUCGAUACGGGCAGACUAGAGGCAUGCAGGGGAGAACGGAAUUCCUGGUGUAGCGGUGAAAUGCGCAGAUAUCAGGAGGAACACCGGUGGCGAAGGCGGUUCUCUGGGCAUGUCCUGACGCUGAGGAGCGAAAGUGUGGGGAGCGAACAGG